rnacentral:rRNA from 1 species
UGGUGUUUAUGGCGAUGAGGUCACACCUGUUCCCAUGCCGAACACAGAAGUUAAGCUCAUUAGCGGCGAUGAUAUUGCAAUGCGAGAAAGUAGCACAAUGCCAGUUC